rnacentral:rRNA from 1 species
GACGAACGCUGGCGGCGUGCUUAACACAUGCAAGUCGAACGCUGAAGCCCAGCUUUUGUUGGGUGGAUGAGUGGCGAACGGGUGAGUAACACGUGAGUAACCUGCCCCCUUCUUUGGGAUAACGCCCGGAAACGGGUGCUAAUACUGGAUAUUCACUGGUCUUCGCAUGGGGGUUGGUGGAAAGUGUGUUUCUGGGGGGGGAUGGGCUCGCGGCCUAUCAGCUUGUUGGUGGGGUGAUGGCCUACCAAGGCUAUGACGGGUAGCCGGCCUGAGAGGGUGACCGGUCACAUUGGGACUGAGAUACGGCCCAGACUCCUACGGGGGGCAGCAGUGGGGAAUAUUGCACAAUGGGCGCAAGCCUGAUGCGGCGGCGCCGCGUGAGGGAUGGAGGCCUUCGGGUUGUGAACCUCUUUCGCUCAUGGUCAAGCCGCAACAAUGGUUGUGGUGAGGGUAGUGGGUAAAGAAGCGCCGGCUAACUACGUG